rnacentral:rRNA from 2 species
CUACGGGAGGCAGCAGUAGGGAAUCUUCCGCAAUGGACGAAAGUCUGACGGAGCAACGCCGCGUGAGUGAUGAAGGCUUUCGGGUCGUAAAACUCUGUUGUUAGGGAAGAACAAGUGCUAGUUGAAUAAGCUGGCACCUUGACGGUACCUAACCAGAAAGCCACGGCUAACUACGUGCCAGCAGCCGCGGUAAUACGUAGGUGGCAAGCGUUAUCCGGAAUUAUUGGGCGUAAAGCGCGCGCAGGUGGUUUCUUAAGUCUGAUGUGAAAGCCCACGGCUCAACCGUGGAGGGUCAUUGGAAACUGGGAGACUUGAGUGCAGAAGAGGAAAGUGGAAUUCCAUGUGUAGCGGUGAAAUGCGUAGAGAUAUGGAGGAACACCAGUGGCGAAGGCGACUUUCUGGUCUGUAACUGACACUGAGGCGCGAAAGCGUGGGGAGCAAACAGGAUUAGAUACCCUGGUAGUCCACGCCGUAAACGAUGAGUGCUAAGUGUUAGAGGG